CAGAUGUGAACCAAACUGAAACCGUCCGCUUUUAAAUGUUUAGAAUCAUUGCAAUGGGGUGCCCCUCCUCUAUUUCAUAGGAUUCCUGGGAUGCUGCCUUCAGAGUUAGGUAAUGUCCAAAUUUCUUCUCUUUAUAUAGGCAUUCUAGUCUCAUGUAAAAGGACCUAGGCACCUAGCUAACCUGAUUUGGAACACAACCUGGUUUUGAAAGCUUUUGAUCAUAAUGUCAUAUAGAGUCUCUGCAGAAUCACAAAUACCAGAAUUUUUUUAUAAAUCUCGAAUAAUUUAACAUGCUGGUUCCCUGAUCAUGCUGAUCUUUGUAUAUAAAAUGGUUCAGA
rnacentral:lncRNA from 1 species